rnacentral:rRNA from 1 species
CAGUAGCCGCGGUAAUACAGAGGGUGCGAGCGUUAAUCGGAUUUACUGGGCGUAAAGCGUGCGUAGGCGGCUUCUUAAGUCGGAUGUGAAAUCCCUGAGCUUAACUUAGGAAUUGCAUUCGAUACUGGGAAGCUAGAGUAUGGGAGAGGAUGGUAGAAUUCCAGGUGUAGCGGUGAAAUGCGUAGAGAUCUGGAGGAAUACCGAUGGCGAAGGCAGCCAUCUGGCCUAAUACUGACGCUGAGGUACGAAAGCAUGGGGAGCAAACAGGAUUAGAUACCCGAGUAGUCCCUGUCUCUUAUAA